rnacentral:rRNA from 1 species
CCCUUAGAUGUCCGGGGCCGCACGCGCGCUACACUGAAGGAAUCAGCGUGGCUUUCUCCCUGACCCGAAAGGGUUGGGAAACCCGUUGAAUCUCCUUCGUGAUAGGGAUUGGGGCUUGAAAUUGUUCCCCAUGAACGAGGAAUUCCCAGUAAGCGCGAGUCAUAAGCUCGCGUUGAUUACGUCCCUGCCCUUUGUACACACCGCCCGUCGCUACUACCGAUUGAACGGCUUAGUGAGGGCCUCGGAUUGGUCUCGGCCCGCUCUUUACCGGGCGGCGCCGUUGGUCGAGAAGACGCUCGAACUUGAUCGUUUAGAGGAAGUAAAAGUCGUAACA